GUCUUGGUAGUGUAGUGGUAACACGCGCUCCGGUAUGGACGGAAUGCAGGUUCAACUCCCGUCUGAGGUCA